CAGCAGUGGGGAAUAUUGGACAAUGGGCGAAAGCCUGAUCCAGCCAUGCCGCGUGUGUGAAGAAGGUCUUCGGAUUGUAAAGCACUUUAAGUUGGGAGGAAGGGCAGUANCUUAAUACUUUASUGYUUUGACGUUACCGACAGAAUAAGCACCGGCUAACUCUGUGCCAGCAGCCGCGGUAAUACAGAGGGUGCAAGCGUUAAUCGGAAUUACUGGGCGUAAAGCGCGCGUAGGUGGUUUGUUAAGUUGGAUGUGAAAUCCCCGGGCUCAACCUGGGAACUGCAUUCAAAACUGACAARCUAGAGUAUGGUAGAGGGUGGUGGAAUUUCCUGUGUAGCGGUGAAAUGCGUAGAUAUAGGAAGGAACACCAGUGGCGAAGGCGACCACCUGACNUAAACUGACACUGAGGUCGAAGC
rnacentral:rRNA from 1 species